rnacentral:rRNA from 1 species
GAUGAACGCUAGCUACAGGCUUAACACAUGCAAGUCGCGGGGCAGCAUGGGGGUUGCUUGCAAUCCCCGAUGGCGACCGGCGCACGGGUGAGUAACGCGUAUCCAACCUGCCCUUCACCACGGGAUAACCCGGCGAAAGUCGGACUAAUACCGUAUGUUGUCCAUUGACGGCAUCCGAUUUGGACGAAAGGCUUGGCGGUGAGGGAUGGGGAUGCGUCCGAUUAGCCAGACGGCGGGGUAACGGCCCACCGUGGCUACGAUCGGUAGGGGUUCUGAGAGGAAGGUCCCCCACACUGGAACUGAGACACGGUCCAGACCCCUACGGGAGGCAGCAGUGAGGAAUAUUGGUCAAUGGGCGUAAGCCUGAACCAGCCAAGUAGCGUGCAGGAUGACGGCCCUAUGGGUUGUAAACUGCUUUUAUGCGGGGAUAAAGUGGCCCACGUGUGGGCUUUUGCAGGUACCGCAUGAAUAAGGACCGGCUAAUUCCGUG